GACGAACGCUGGCGGCGUGCUUAACACAUGCAAGUCGAACGGAAAGGCCCUGCUUUUGUGGGGUGCUCGAGUGGCGAACGGGUGAGUAACACGUGAGUAACCUGCCCUUGACUUUGGGAUAACUUCAGGAAACUGGGGCUAAUACCGGAUAGGAGCUCCUGCUGCAUGGUGGGGGUUGGAAAGUUUCGGCGGGUGGGGAUGGACUCGCGGCUUAUCAGCUUGUUGGUGGGGUAGUGGCUUACCAAGGCUUUGACGGGUAGCCGGCCUGAGAGGGGGACCGGCCACAUUGGGACUGAGAUACGGCCCAGACUCCUACGGGAGGCAGCAGUGGGGAAUAUUGCACAAUGGGCGGAAGCCUGAUGCAGCAACGCCGCGUGCGGGAUGACGGCCUUCGGGUUGUAAACCGCUUUCGCCUGUGACGAAGCGUGAGUGACGGUAAUGGGUAAAGAAGCACCGGCUAACUACGUG
rnacentral:rRNA from 1 species